ensembl:lncRNA
AGAGUGUACCAUAGUCUCCAUCUUUGGCUAGAAGGCAGAGAAGAAGCAAAGGAUGUGGCUCCGGACGUGGCCAGAGUGUGUUCAGAGGAGCCCGACUCCACGUCGUCUGUACAUCUUCAAGUUCCAAACCUAAGCCUCUGCCUCUAUCCAGCUCUGCCUCCCAUCACAAGCCUCCUGCGUUUCUCUGAAUCUCCUGGUCCCACCACUUCAUCCUCUGAAGCCCUCUGCUGUCUUCUCCAUCCUUUCCUACUUCCACGUCCUGCACUCCUGUGUGGUCGAAUCCAGAGAUCAGUCCUUUCCCCACCAGAGGCUGGUUGCAGUCAAGUUCAUCUGGAGGGCUCGGGGCACCCCUCUGGCCAAGCCUUCAGUCACAGAACCUUCAGCUACUCUCCCUCACUCAGGCUCAAAUUCCAAAAGCUCCCACAGGGCUUCAUCUGCUUGGACUCCAAGCUUGUGGUCAAAGGGCAGACUCGGCUCAGGGAUCUCCUGGGGGAACUUCCCAACACUGGCUGUCCCUCAGGCACAAACAACUCAGAAGCCACAUCUGCAGAGGAAUCAUUUUGUCCAAUGGCCUUACUAUACAGAUGGGGAAACUAUGGCCCAGAGAGGGGAAGGGGCCAGCCCAAUACCACACAGCCAGGCACUGAGAGCAGAGCUGGGGCCGGAGCCUAAGUGCCCCUGUCUUCUCUCGCCAGCAUCCCUUCCCACUGCUCCAUGUGCAGUCAGCACCCAGCCUUCCCAGGAUCUCUGCCUGCCUGCCAGACCCUGAGCUUACAUUGCCUUUUCCCCAGCUUUGUUUCUCAAAACCAUUAUUUGAAAACCGUUUUCCUUGCUGGGACCCCCAGGCUCUCGGAAUUGCAAAAUCAAAGCCCCAUAGAAUGAGGAAGAAGCACUGCCUAUGUAGAAGCCGGGGAGACUGCCCCAGACUCGGGCGCCGUGGUGAAGCUCGGGCUGAUAGGAUGUUAACUCUGUUCGCUCCCUCUGCCCCUUCUUCCCCCAGUUGACUACAACAACAAGGAAUCCUAGAAGCCAACAGGACCACAGAAUUAGAGCCGAUGAGCUGGAUGGAUGCUUAGAGAUCAUUGACUCCAGCCCCUGUGCAGAUGGGGAAAUUGAGACCCAGAGAAUCUGUGUCCAAAAGGACAGAGUCUUACAAGAGAGCAAGACCCCCAGAUGCAGCAUCCCGCUGGGGAAAUGUCCCAGAGGCCCCCAUCCACCAAUCCCAGGUCUCCUGCUGGUGCUUACCUUUCCUGGGAUCUGGUCCAGGUGUGGCUCCUUGGGGCCUGGAGAUGGGAACCAGCCUGUUUGGUGAGUGGUUGGGGUUGUCACUGCUUCUCAACUAAUUAGACCCAGCCUCUGGUGCCCCUCGCUGCCACAGGGGCAUUUUUAAGCAGCUGGCACUGAGCCCCCCCCCCCCUUAGUCCCUUGCCUGCGGCUCCCUGGCCACAGAGGCCACUCUGCCUUUUACCUUAUAUGAGCUGAAGAGGCGAGCCCCGCGUUGGGGCGAGGUGGGUGCUGAGCCCUCCCAGGGCCCCCCAUUGGCCCAGGCGCCCCCCACGUGACUACCUCGCCUUGACCUGCCCCCGGUGCAGAAUGUUGCUUUUACCCCCUAAGGAAGGAGUGGUUGACAAUUUUCAUAUUUCUUCUAAAUUUGGAGAUUUCAGACAAUGCUGGGAGGCUUGGCUCCAGCCGCCAGAGGCCCAUGUGGAAGUCAUUAAGCCUGAGAAGGGGGGCAGGGGAGAGAGGGAGGCAGGGAAAA